rnacentral:tRNA from 1 species
GCCUGGGUGGCUCAGUCAGUUAAGCGUCUGACUUCAGCUCAGGUCAUGAUCUGAUGGUUCGUGAGUUCAAGCCCCACAUUGGGCU